rnacentral:rRNA from 1 species
CCUACGGGAGGCAGCAGUGAGGAAUAUUGGUCAAUGGGCGGGAGCCUGAACCAGCCAAGUCGCGUGAGGGAUGACGGUCCUAUGGAUUGUAAACCUCUUUAGGCAGGGAGCAAUGGGGUGCACGCGUGGGCGGAGGGAGAGUACCUGAAGAAAAAGCAUCGGCUAACUCCGUGCCAGCAGCCGCGGUAAUACGGAGGAUGCGAGCGUUAUCCGGAUUUAUUGGGUUUAAAGGGUGCGUAGGCGGAAUAUCAAGUCAGCGGUAAAAUGUCGGGGCUCAACCCGGUCCUGCCGUUGAAACUGGUGUUCUUGAGUGGGCGAGAAGUAUGCGGAAUGCGUGGUGUAGCGGUGAAAUGCAUAGAUAUCACGCAGAACUCCGAUUGCGAAGGCAGCAUACCGGCGCCCAACUGACGCUGAAGCACGAAAGCGUGGGGAUCGAACAGGAUUAGAUACCCGAGUAGUC